UGUGGUUUUAAAUGUCAUGUGAGCUGAGUUACUGACCUCAACCUACUGCCAGAUGAAGGUGUGAUCCUGUGAUACCAAUCUUGAGGGUCCCUUCUAGUUUUAGCAGUCAGUGACUUCUCUUGUUUAUUUUUGUUUGAAAAAGUAAAAGGCUCUCUUUUUGGCUAUAGAGUUGCAUCUUGAAAUUUUUGACAAAUUACAUAGAGCUGAAGAAGGAUACAAGUUUUGAUAUCUUAAAAUCACAGGGUUGAAGCUUGAAAGGACAGUAUUGGCAUUGCAGCUAAGUGGGAGUGUGAGGAAGCGCCUUCUCUAGGGCAGGUAAUUGCAUCUGUUAAUGUGGUCCUUGGGCCCCUGAGUUGCUGCCUUCCAAUCAGAAUUCCCUUAGCAUUAGCCAGUGACGCCUGAAUUAAUCUCAGGUAGGACUUCUAACUUUUUUCCAAAAUUAUUUUUGUGCAGAGGUUUAUCUAGAUUUUUCUUCUAAAUGUCCUCCUCCCCACUUGUUUUAUUAUUACUGUUUUUUUCUCUCUUUAAUUUUUUUUUUUUUUUAAUAGAGACAUGGUCUCACUAUGUUGCCUGGGCUGAUCUCAGACUCCUGGGCUCAAGUGAUCCUCCUGCCUCAGCUUCCCAAAGUGCUGGGAUUAUAGGCGUGAGCCAUUGCGCCUGGCUCUGUUACUGUUUUUCUAACCUGAGUUACUUAGGAUCAUAUUUUCAUUCUUUUUUAAAAAGAUGGGAGUUUUCUGAACUUUUCCUUAACUAAAAAGUGGAAUGCAUCUUAAUAUUUUCCUUUUUUUACUUGUGUUUCUCCCCAGGGAGGGAAAAACAUAUUUAUUGUGACAGAAUUUAGCAUAUUUUAGGCCACAUUAAAAUACUGAUAAAUGUAUUAAUCAGUGAAAAUAGGUUAUAGUGAAAAAUAUAUACCAUUUGAUUAAUAAAAAUGUUAUUGGAAAAAUGCAAGAACUGCUGUAAGAAUUGCUAACAUUGUGUUGGAAAAUAAAUAUACUAAGCUAAGAAACAAUGGGAAACUGUCAUAUGUAGGGCCAACAGCCUUUUUUUUUUUAAACCCUUCCAAUUUAUUAAUAUCUAGUCUAAUAAACCCUGAUUUAUAGGACCUCUGCACCUUUUUUGACUUUUUAUUCAUCCAUUCUUAAUAUUCUACACUAUGACAAAAUCCUUAAAACUCCAUUAUUGAUGAAAUGGGAACAGACUUUUGUUUUUGUAUGUUGGUGUUCUCUGAGUGGUGAAGGCCCAGGGAGAAUGUUUUGUUUGGUGGUCACUUAGCAUUUGAAAACAUCCACUUCCUUGUGACUUAGCUGGGUAUCUUUUAACAUCUGGAAGCCACGUCCCUGAUUGAAAUCUCUGGAGACAACUUACCUUUCACCAACUUGUCUGCCAAAUUGCACCAUGGACCAAGAUUGCAGUGGCUGCAUCAAGUCUAGGCCUGCCCUGAAGUCUGGAUUUGUAAGUCCCCCAUUUCAAAUGGGGCAGAAGGCAGAGGAGCAGAGGAGCCACUGUGCCUUUCGCUGUCCUGGAGCCAGUUGGCCUUCUGGUUUUGGUGAACCCUGCUUUUAUAAGAGGACUCCCUGGCAUCUUCCAGUUUCCCGCUACUUGUUUUAUGUAUUAUUUUAUGUCUGUGUUUGUCCUGGAGUGCUGUAACUCCUUUCACUGUCUGCUGUAAGUUCAACUUCUUCAAUAAAAGAAAUGUUUCAAAUUGGA
rnacentral:lncRNA from 1 species